GACGAACCGAGCGAACGUUGUUCGGAAUCACUGGGCUUAAAGGGCGCGUAGGCGGGUGCUCAAGUCUGUGGUGAAAUCCUCCGGCUCAACCGGAGAACUGCCAUGGAUACUGGGUGCCUCGAGGGUGGUAGGGGUAUGCGGAACUAUCGGUGGAGCGGUGAAAUGCGUUGAUAUCGAUAGGAACUCCGGUGGCGAAGGCGGCAUCCUGGACCGACAUUGACGCUGAGGAGCGAAAGCUAGGGGAGCAAACGGG
rnacentral:rRNA from 1 species